UGUUUGGACAUUUUGUAUACAGUGGGUUGGACAGCUGAUAACAGAUAUAAAGAAAGUGUUGGAUGAUCAGUUCAAAUGAAUGCACAGUACCACUUUAAGGACAUAAUCCUUUUCCCUUUUCAGUUCAAGAUCCUUGAGAACACGGAAGAAAGAUUGUUUUCCGACUAAAAACGUUGAAGUGGCUGAGUAGUUUGAUUCUUUCCCAUUUACAUUCACCAUGUGUUCAGGUCAGCUUGACUUUUUUCAGUCUUUAAGCAGAUGUUGCAAAGUAAAUAUUAUGUAAGUUUUCGUACCAUAUACUGCAAAUUCCAUUCUGAUGGAGGAAAGGUGGGUUAUGUGUUACAGAAUAACAAGUAUAAAAAUUAUUUGUUUUAAUUACUUCUAUUUCUAUAAUUGCCAGAGUGUUACUGAUAUAUUCAGAGUCUCCACGUGCAAAGUGAAUGGAGACAGUGCAUGAGUUUCUCAAUCCAUUCCACCAGUUUUACAACAACAAGAAGUUCCAAUCUUUAUGGUAUAGAUGUAUCUGAGGUGUGACGUGUUAGGAAGACAAUGCACAGGAUAUUUAACCAAGGAAAAGGCCUUACUGUCCUCACUUUCAUGGCCAGGUAUUUUGAACAUAAUAUCUACAUAAAUACAUACUGAAUAAACACAGGUCUGUGACACACAAAUGCAAGUGAGAAGGAACUAGCUGUGAAAAAAAGCAUUCCUGACAGAGCAAGAGAAGUGAGAGAAGUGCAAGGAAAGACUGAAGAAGCCGACAGAAGCUACAUGAGGAAUACCUGUUUCCCUUCUAGCUCUGGGGGAUGUGCACACACAGAGAAAGCAGAUCUCCUCUCUCAAGGGCUAUGUACACCGUGCAAAACCCACACUUCAAGGUGAAUUAAAUGGAAGCUGGAGUAUUUUACCUCAGAUGGGAUGCACA